rnacentral:ncRNA from 1 species
CCCUUAUUCAGAGUGAUGGAGAUACAAAGGAUCUGUGAAGUCACGGCAACCCCUUAUAGGAAGGUGCCAACCUGAGCGAGUAAUCGAGCAAUAAGAG